UACGUAGGGUGCAAGCGUUGUCCGGAAUUAUUGGGCGUAAAGAGCUCGUAGGCGGUUCGUCGCGUCGGCUGUGAAAUCCCGAGGCUCAACCUCGGGUCUGCAGUGGGUACGGGCAGACUAGAGUGCGGUAGGGGAGAUUGGAAUUCCUGGUGUAGCGGUGGAAUGCGCAGAUAUCAGGAGGAACACCGAUGGCGAAGGCAGAUCUCUGGGCCGUAACUGACGCUGAGGAGCGAAAGCGUGGGGAGUGAACAGG
rnacentral:rRNA from 1 species